GACGAACGCUGGCGGCGUGCUUAACACAUGCCAGUCGAACGCUGAAGCUUGGUGCUUGCACUGGGUGGAUGAGUGGCGAACGGGUGAGUAAUACGUGAGUAAUCUGCCCUUGACUCUGGGAUAAGCCUGGGAAACUGGGUCUAAUACUGGAUACGACAUGCCACUGCAUGGUGGUGUGUGGAAAGGGUUUUACUGGUUUUGGAUGGGCUCACGGCCUAUCAGCUUGUUGGUGGGGUAAUGGCCUACCAAGGCGACGACGGGUAGCCGGCCUGAGAGGGUGACCGGCCACACUGGGACUGAGACACGGCCCAGACUCCUACGGGAGGCAGCAGUGGGGAAUAUUGCACAAUGGGCGGAAGCCUGAUGCAGCGACGCCGCGUGAGGGAUGACGGCCUUCGGGUUGUAAACCUCUUUCAGCACGGAAGAAGCGAGAGUGACGGUACGUGCAGAAGAAGCGCCGGCUAACUACGUG
rnacentral:rRNA from 1 species